rnacentral:rRNA from 1 species
AACGAACGCUGGCAGCGUGGAUUAGGCAUGCAAGUCGAACGGGAUCCGGAAGGUAGCAAUACCGGCCGGUGAGAGUGGCGGGAGGGCGAGGAGCACGUGGACAACCUGUCCCGUGGGUGGGGAUACCGUCCCGAAAGGGGCGUUAAUACCGAAUGGGGCCCCGGACCGCAUGGUCCGGCGGCCAAAGGCGGGGACCGCAAGGCCCGCCCCCCCGGGAGGGGUCCGCGCACCAUCAGCUAGACGGCGGGGUACCGCCCCCCCGUGGCUGACUGGUAGCUGGUCUGAGAGGACGACCAGCCGCACUGGAACUGAGACACGGCCCAGACUCCUACGGGAGGCUGCAGUCGGGAAUCAUGCGCAAUGGGCGAAAGCCUGACGAAGCGACGCUGCGUGGAGGAUGAAGGCCUUCGGGUCGUAAACCCCUUUCAUGGGGGGCGAGGCGGAGGCGGUUAACGGCCGGCCGAGUUGACGGUACCCAAAGAAUAAGCCACGGCUAACUCUGUG